rnacentral:rRNA from 1 species
GAGUAAUGCUUGGGAAUCUGGCUUAUGGAGGGGGAUAACUGUGGGAAACUGCAGCUAAUACCGCGUAUAAUCGAGAGAUGAAAGGGUGGGACCGUAAGGCCACUUGCCAUAAGAUGAGCCCAAGUGGGAUUAGGUAGUUGGUGGGGUAAAGGCCUACCAAGCCUGCGAUCUCUAGCUGGUCUGAGAGGAUGGCCAGCCACACUGGGACUGAGACACGGCCCAGACUCCUACGGGAGGCAGCAGUGGGGAAUAUUGCGCAAUGGGGGGAACCCUGACGCAGCCAUGCCGCGUGAAUGAAGAAGGCCUUCGGGUUGUAAAGUUCUUUCGGUGAUGAGGAAGGGGUAUUAUUGAAUAGAUAAUAUCAUUGACGUUAAUUACAGAAGAAGCACCGGCUAACUCCGUGCCAGCAGCCGCGGUAAUACGGAGGGUGCGAGCGUUAAUCGGAAUAACUGGGCGUAAAGGGCACGCAGGCGGACUUUUAAGU